rnacentral:rRNA from 1 species
CCUACGGGUGGCAGCAGUGAGGAAUAUUGGUCAAUGGUCGGGAGACUGAACCAGCCAAGCCGCGUGAGGGAUGAAGGUACAGAGUAUCGUAAACCUCUUUUGUCAGGGAACAAAGGCGGGGACGUGUCCCCGGAUGAGUGUACCUGAAGACAAAGCAUCGGCUAAAUCCGUGCCAGCAGCCGCGGUAAUACGGAGGAUGCGAGCGUUAUCCGGAUUUGUUGGGGUCAAAGGGUGCGCAGGCGGUCUGUUAAGUCAGCGGUCAAAGCCCGGGGACCAACCCCGGCCCGCCGUUGAAACUGGCAGGCUCGAGUGGGAGAGAAGUAUGCGGAAUGCGCGGUGUAGCGGUGAAAUGCAUAGAUAUCGCGCAGAACUCCGAUUGCGAAGGCAGCAUGCCGGCUCCACACUGACGCUGAGGCACGAAAGCGUGGGUAUCGAACAGGAUUAGAUACCCGGGUAGUC